AGAGUUUGAUCCUGGCUCAGAGUGAACGCUGGCGGCAGGCCUAACACAUGCAAGUCGAACGGCAGCACAGUAAGAGCUUGCUCUUAUGGGUGGCGAGUGGCGGACGGGUGAGGAAUACAUCGGAAUCUACUCUUUCGUGGGGGAUAACGUAGGGAAACUUACGCUAAUACCGCAUACGACCUACGGGUGAAAGCGGAGGACCUUCGGGCUUCGCGCGAUUGAAUGAGCCGAUGUCGGAUUAGCUAGUUGGCGGGGUAAAGGCCCACCAAGGCGACGAUCCGUAGCUGGUCUGAGAGGAUGAUCAGCCACACUGGAACUGAGACACGGUCCAGACUCCUACGGGAGGCAGCAGUGGGGAAUAUUGGACAAUGGGCGCAAGCCUGAUCCAGCCAUGCCGCGUGGGUGAAGAAGGCCUUCGGGUUGUAAAGCCCUUUUGUUGGGAAAGAAAAGCAGUCGGUUAAUACCCGAUUGUUCUGACGGUACCCAAAGAAUAAGCACCGGCUAACUUCGUGCCAGCAGCCGCGGUAAUACGAAGGGUGCAAGCGUUACUCGGAAUUACUGGGCGUAAAGCGUGCGUAGGUGGUGGUUUAAGUCUGUUGUGAAAGCCCUGGGCUCAACCUGGGAAUUGCAGUGGAUACUGGGUCACUAGAGUGUGGUAGAGGGUAGCGGAAUUCCCGGUGUAGCAGUGAAAUGCGUAGAGAUCGGGAGGAACAUCCGUGGCGAAGGCGGCUACCUGGACCAACACUGACACUGAGGCACGAAAGCGUGGGGAGCAAACAGGAUUAGAUACCCUGGUAGUCCACGCCCUAAACGAUGCGAACUGGAUGUUGGGUGCAAUUUGGCACGCAGUAUCGAAGCUAACGCGUUAAGUUCGCCGCCUGGGGAGUACGGUCGCAAGACUGAAACUCAAAGGAAUUGACGGGGGCCCGCACAAGCGGUGGAGUAUGUGGUUUAAUUCGAUGCAACGCGAAGAACCUUACCUGGUCUUGACAUCCACGGAACUUUCCAGAGAUGGAUU
rnacentral:rRNA from 1 species